rnacentral:rRNA from 1 species
UACAAAAAAGUGAAACACCCGAACCUUUCCAACUUCGAACAGUGAACCCUUUUUUUACCAUAUGUACUAGAAAUUCUGGGAGACGUGGUCAAAGUCAAGA